CACUUUUUUUUUAAUAAGGCAGCAUCAUGGGGAGGUGCAGGAAUCUUUUUCUUUUUUUCCCUUUUAUGUUUGUUAUUACAAAAAGGAGGGGGUGGGGAAAGAGAAACAUAAGCAUCAGGGAUAGUAAAUCUCUUCCUCCUUUCCGCACAGCAGCUGCUGCGAUGCUCUACCGCAGCGGCCAAGACGCUUCGUCCUCCUUUGAGGCUUCACUUGGAGCCGUGCGCUCGCUCGGGAAACUGGAUGGUGCUGACAGAUGAGGAGAACUUUUUAACUCCUGCUGCUCCAGAAACUCCUUUCCUGGAAGGGCAGCCAUGCCAACAACCAAAAGACUCCUUGAUCUCAGUGAUGUCCCACAUGGAGCCGCCUGUCUUCACUUUCUUUCCCUGAAGGCUUGUGCUAGCAAAAAAGGUAUUUUUUUCCCACUCGAGAUACAUGUGCAAGUUCCAACCCUCUAGUAAAUGCGACAUGACUCGAGGCAGUUUUGCUUGAGCCGAUCACAAAAGAUGUUGCUUGUAUGCUGCAAACCUGGCUUGUCAUAGGGUGAUGGCUCCCAUGGGAUGUGUGGUCCCCAACCCUGCUUUCCAUCCAUCCGUCCAUCUCAGGGGGUUUAUCUCUCUCCACCUAUUUAAGCAAGAAGGUGUUUUCUCCUUUGUGGAUGUAUAACGUUACUUCUUGAGGAGUUUCUGGGUCUCUAGUGAAACUUCUACCCUGGGCGAGCACAGAAAUGGUGUCAGCAAAGUUAAGAAACAAGUUGAAAGCAUCUCACAGGUCUGCUGAGCCCCAGUUCUUCUUCCUGGGAACCGUGGGCAUGAUGGAAAGAACGCACAAGAAAAUAAGCAGCAGUAGAUGGGAAGCGUUUGGGGUGUUCCACGGAGACGAUGAUGUUGUGUAAGCACCUAGAGUUAGGUUAUGGUUGGACGUGGUGGUGAUAAGGGUCUCUUCCAGCCAAAAUGGUUCUAUCUCACCCAUCUGUCAAAGGAGUUAUCUCCUCUCUGUUCCAUGGCCAAGCGCAGAAGGAGCUUGGCUGGACCCUGCAUGCUGGAAGUUCUCCCCAAAAGUGGCCACCAGCCAUGGAAAGCCUCAGGGAUGGCAGAUUUUGGACAACGGGCAUUGAGUCCUUUGGGAAACAUAUUGGGCAUGCACAUCCCUUUCUUCUUCUUAGCAACAGCUUGUUUCUUCCUCAUGGCCAUUUCUUCCAUUGCCGAGCUCCUGUGGGACACCUCUCAGGAAAACAAGGGCUUGGCUAUAAGGCAGGAGUCCAUAUCCACUCAGCUUGGCAAUAAACCUUCCUUUCGUCUUCCGAAUGAGAGAAUAGCGCUGGUCUAACAGUAAAUAAAGGUUAUAAUACCCAAUAUAAACAUUCCUCGGUGUCCUACACCCACAUGUCUGCAUGUUGCCUGGUUACAAGUCGAAAAGGCUAGUGGCUUAUUUAUCUAGGAAAUAUGUCCUGGAUAUAACCUCAUGUCUGAAUUUAAACCCAUGUAAUUCACUCCGAGCAAACAACAGGGUAGGUGAGCUCUGUGUUAUUUGUCUCCUUGCCCCCUGCAAUUUUCCAGCUCACCCUUGAAUAAACCUGAUUUCCAAUGACUAAAACCUCCAAAUGAGGAGCGAAGACCCUGCUGAUGAUUUAAUUGCAGCAAGUGGUUAUUUUUGAGCUAAUAAGCCAAGCUGAGGGCAAUUGUUCUUGUCUGUUCUCAGUCCCCAAACAGUUUUCUGGAGCAGAGCAUCUUCUCCCAGCCCCAGACGGGCUGUCUGUUGGUGAGGCAAUGAACUUGGACGGCUGGCUGGCUCUCUGACUCCCCUUUUCCACUCUCUCCUGCUGCUUUUUGGAUCUGUGCUUGCUGCAUCUGACCCCAUUUUGCAUCUUUUCCUUCAAUCCUCAUGAAAUCUGGCCCUCCCGCUCCAGGUCUGCUGGCUUUGUCUGGUUAAAUCAAGGUGAAGAUCCACCACGUCGCCUGUUUCCCAGGCUGGGACACCCCAACACAGCAUCCAGCAUAUAGAUAAUAUAUAUAUACACACAUAGAUAAUAAUAAAUAUAAUGAUAGAGCCCGAGCAGAGGAAAACCUUUCCUAAAAGACGGAAAAAUUUCCUUGCAGGGAACAUGGAGCCGAGCUUAUAUAUUUCAAAGCCUGGGCUCUGUAGAAGGUGUUGGUGGGCAGUGUUAGGUGAUUCAUGGAACCACUUUUAUGGCGGAUCUAUUCUUUGCCUCCCAAGGUAUUUCUAUGCAGGCAAGGACCUGUGAACUUUGAGGAGUUAACAACAUUAUUUCGCUUUUUACUGCAUCGACAUAAGCUGUCAAUAUUCCCUUGACAUCUUGCAAGAAGCCAGUUGGCAGGGUUGUUCAUUAGGAAAUGGCUCAAUAAAAGUGCUUUAUUUAAAAAAAAUAUUGAACCUGUAAAAGGAGGUAAUAUAAUGAACAAAUGGAGUAAUACUAAAAGCGACGUCCUUGGUGUCAUCGCAAAACCCACGCACUGCGAAGCGGUGUCCGUAAAUCUUGCUGGGAAUUCCCAGCAGCUGCUUAAUUAGGCCACAUCAGGUAAUCAAUAGGUGAGGCCAUGCCAUUAGCUGGAGUUAUGGGUGGCUGGGGAAUUCCUUUUUCUAGCUCUGACGGCCUUUCCCACCCGGCUGUGGGGGAAGAGGGAGGUUUGGUGUUGCCAUCCCAGGCUUUUCCACCCCUCAUCCCAAAGAAAAAUCUUCUCAUGCUUAAUUUUUAUCGGUUCGUCCUCUUGCCAAACUAAAUGCAAGCUGCGUGGCCAGAGGUGUUUAUCAGAAGAGCAUGGCUUUUCUUCCGUGUGGAAAACCCCAAGGCUGGGAAUCUGAAGCCAGAAAAAGCACAAGCAAUUACCUUGGAUUGGCCACAUUUGAUAUGUCAUCGCCUGGCUGGAAAUGCUGCAUUUAUUUACACAUGCGUUACGAAGAGGAAAAAGCGAUGCCCUUAUUGUUCAUUCAUCUCGGCUGCGCUCCCCGCCUGGUUUGAUGAGCUUUGCAGGCGUUCGCUGAUAAAUCUUUGAUUUCGAGGAGUUAAGGUCAUGGUCUGCUUCUCAGUGUACUGGGAACAAAACAUCACCAGGGGCACACAUACGUGGGUGUAAUCGCUUAUAUUUCUUAGCUGACCUGGGUUGGGAAGGACACUCUUAUUUCUGCAGCCAUCUCCUAGAUGAUGCUCUUUGUUGCAACCUCUUGGUGAGGUGGAGAUACAUAUGCCAUCUUGUCCAUCUUCACCAGACUCUUGGACCUACAUGGUGGUGAAUAAGUGAGCCCUGAGCACCAAAACAGGGAUGGGAUGGGAUGGGAUGAGGAGCGAGAACAUGUUAUUUCGCUGAGCUGGGGAGCAUUAAAUGGCAAUGGAGUUGUGUUUGUGUAGUAGCUGUAUAUGGGCUUGCUCCCUUCAGCAGUUUUCUUUCCAUUAAUAAGUCUUUGUAAAUGUUCCCGGGCAUGUAAACUUUAAAUAGAUAGCUUGUCAGCUGGGAGCUGAGCCUUUCAUAGAUCUCUUUGAUGGAAUAGUUUUUGAGAAUGGAGCUGGGGACAGGGAGGGAGAGUUUACAGCCCUCCAUCCAUAAAAGAUGAAUAGGUUGCUGGAAGAUGCUGCUAGAGAAGCUAAACAGCUAUUUGGAUGAUGGUGGAUCUGCUACUGAAAGCGACUUCUCCAUCCCAACGCCCAAAAUUGCACAAUGAUCACAGACACACCAUUUUUUAGGACAUCGGGCUUCUAGGUCAUGGGUCUGAAUGCUGCCUGAAAGCAUCCCUGGGUGGACGUGAGAUGUUUAAAGCUGGAAAUAUUCACAUUUUCCCUUUUAGAGGUUUCUGCCCACACCUUUCUCUCGUGUGUCUUGUGGCUCGUAGCUGCUGUGCCAACAAUCGGAGCUCCCUGGGUGACAAUUUAGAGAGGUGUCAAGGGAGAUCAGAGGGGUGGAACGGCUCAUGUACGAGGAAAGCUUAAAUAACCUGCUCUCAUCAGCAGAGGGAAGGGAUGACAGAUGGGGUCGGCAACACAGGUCCAUAAAAACCCGAGCGGCGUGGAAGGGCGAGCAGGGAGCGAUUACUCUUCCUCACAAGGCAACAACCAGGAUGAAAGGAGGUUUAAAACAAAGACAGGACCAGUGGUGGUGAGUCUGACUGGUUUGGAAUGGUGUGGAUCAAUUCCCCCUCAUUUCGAAGCUGGAGUUCUAGAACUGGUCUCUGUUGGUGGCAUCAUCUGCCUUCCUCCAGUCCUGGCUCUGGUUUGCCUCUCCAUGUAGUCUUGAGAUGCCUGGACACAGUAAAUAUUUGGGGAUGGUGCAGCAAUCUCCAGAGCUUUUCCUUUUUAUGGUUAAAUAACUGGAAAAGAGCAUUAUUUUUUGCAUUAAAAAUUCAUCUGGAAGCGGUGAGGUUUCUGAGGAUGUAAUUAGCUGAGUUCUCCUCCUCCAUCAGCUCUCUCUGAAGCUUCUUGGGAUCACGGUUUUCUCUUUUCUUCCUCAUUUCACUCUUUCUUAGCCUUUUUGCAACUUGUUUAGGUUUCCCCAGACACUGGGUGGGAUAGGUUAUUGCGUGAAGAAAACAAAGUAGUUAAUACAGGAGAUGAGAUCUGGCCCAUUUCCUCCUCAAGAAAAAGCUCUGAAAGGGCAUUUCUUUGCAUCCAGACCUCUUCCCCCUCACCCCCAUAUGCCGCAUCAUUUAACCCCAUUUCAGCCUUUUUGGUUGUUUUUAUUUUCUUCUUUUUUUGCCCCACCUUCCCUCCUGACUUUCCCUUCAGCAAGUCUUUCCAGAUACCCAUUUUUCCUUCCACAUAAAAUGUAAUGAGGAUGAUGCCUGAAUGUCUGGAAAUGCUCUGUAGCUGGCAGGUGGAUGGCCUGGCUCUUCCUCUCCCCUCUGCCAAAUGAUCAGCUGCUGAGGGGUUAAAUUACUGUUUAAAGGAGUUCUCAAUUAGAGCCCUGAUGAUGGGGCACGUCCUCUCUGAGACUCUUUGUCGGGCUAAUUUCCCCACAGGGGUUCAUGUUUCCCUUCCACCCCAAAGGUUGGUUGUGUGCUGGGGGACCCUCCCCCUGCCUCGCUCUUAGCUCUGAAAUUACAAUUGAGAUUGAUUAAGAUUUAUUCUUUUUAAUUAAGAUUGAGAAGCUGGAACCCCAGGGUGCCCCAGCCUGGGGAAGAAGGACAAUUACGCAGCAAUUACACAGCUUUAUAAUCACAUUAUCCAUGGGCUGGAGACCGAGAUCUACCCAAACCAUUGUAAAUAGGUCAGCAGCAAACCCAAGAGAUGCCAAACGACUUGGGCAGCUUGCUGAGGGGCUCUGAUUCAGGUUGGAGGGGAGAUGCUGGCUCAGAAUGUGAUUUGGAGACAGGAUCUGAAAGCUCGGGGGUCUCUGACUUGUCCCUCGAUACGCACCGGCUGAGCUGGCACUGCUCAAGACCUCGUGCAUGUUCCAGUUUGGGUGUCCUGGUUUGGGGAUACGGCUUGAACUGGCUCACCCAGAGCCAACCUGAAUUUUCUGCACCGUGUUUCUCCAGCUCUUCCUUCAGGACCAGCUUUUGGACGCCAGGAGUCGCGUUAUUAAGUGUUUCUUCUUCUGGAUGCAGAAAUUUCUGAUUCUGCUACUGUCUCCUCUCCUGGUUUUCAUCCCUUUAAUCUCUGGUUGUUUCUAAUUAGCAAUGCUAACCCGUGCUGCACUCGCCUUUUAUCCUCCACUAAAAACAGGCUUGGAUUGGAAUUAAACAGCAAGAUACAGGCUCCAGGCUGGUUCUCCCAACGAGGGAAGCAGGGGACGGGGUCAAGAGGAGCCAAGCAGGUGGCUUGGUUGGAACUCUUGCUGCCCUUGCCUGGCUGAUCCCUCUCUCCUCUUGCUCAUAGAAGAUGCCCAUCAACAGGGCGAGCAGGCUCAGAGAAGGUGGCCUCAGAGGGUCCCCAGCCAGCUGAAAGGGAAACCACCCCCAGAAAGUGUCCUUUUCCCUCCCCAUUUUUCUAGAAAAACAGAGAAGUCCUUGGGGCACCAGCAUCCCUCUGCCUAGCGAUGCUCUGAGCUUAUCCUCAUCUGGCAUUUCUUGCUCACCGGCUUCUUCUUUUCUCACAGUUUACAAAUCAGUCAGCUUUGCCCAGUGAGGGAGAAUUGAUUCAGAUGGCAAAACACCUUUUUUUUUUUUUUUUAAUUCCCUCUUUUUUUUUUAAGCCUCUAAACCCAGCUUUUCAUUCACCUGAAAGCUCUGAGCUGAACCCAGACACCUUGUCACACUCACAGAGAGCUGUGAAAACAGUCUGUGCUCCCCCCUUCCUGGGCUGGUGCUGAGAAAUUUUCCUGUCUGGGCUUAAAGGCUGGAGAGUAUCUGGAGAGCAUCCUCCAUGUCCAUGUCCCUGCAGUGUCCCCUGAGCUCCCUCCUUUCUCCUGGCGCUGGGGAGGCCCAGCACAACUCAGGGGGAAGGGGCAAAUCCGGGCUGAAAACUCUUCUACCUGACUUUUUACAAAUGAAAUUGCAAACUUGGAAACUGCUUGUCCGAGUAGCCUGGUUUGGACCACCACCUCCCCGCCUUUAUGAGGGUCUGGUAGGUCACAAGAGCAGAUGACAGCCCCAAAGCCACCGCAAGGGGCCAUGUUGUCAUCUCCAGGGCCUGGCAGCCUCUGUGCGCCCUUUGCAGGAUUAAUUAACUGAGAUGAUGAGCAGGGAGGUCGCUGGGAGCCAGGUCAGCAUCCCUCACAGGGGGGAUGAGGUCAGUGCCACCAAAGCCCAGGUGAAGGUCCUGCAGCACCUUAAGCCACUUUAGAAAUUGUGUGCUGGGACUGGGGAAUCACAGAAUGCCAGGGAUUGGAAGGGCCCUGGAAAGCUCAUCCAGUGCAAUCCCCCCAUGGAGCAGGAACACCCAGAUGAGGUUACGCAGGAAGGUGUCCAGGCAGGUUGGAAUGUCUGCAGAGAAGGAGACUCCACAACCUCCCUGGGCAGCCUGGGCCAGGCUCUGACACCCUCACCCCCAACAAGUUUCUUCUCAGAUUUAAGUGGAACCUCCUGUGUUCCAGUUUGAACCCAUUACCCCUUGUCCUAUCACUGGUUGUCACCGAGAAGAGCCUGGCUCCAUCCUCCUGACACUCACCCUUUAGAUAUCUGUAAACAUUAAUGAGGUCACCCCUCAGUCUCCUCUUCUCCAGCUCCAUAGCCCCAGUUCCCUCAGCCUUUCCUCAUAAGGUUGCAAUUAAAUCCUCCUCAUCUCCAUCAGCUGAAGCAGAACCAGGGCUAAGGAUGCUGGAUUUUUGCUCUGUUGGGAUACAGGGAUGGGUGUCUUUGCCCCACAGCAGUGGCAGAGUGAUGGUGGGAACCCACCAGCAGCCACCCAACGCAUGUCAUUAUAUUUCUGAAAGCCUUAAAAUCCCCACAGUCACUUCAAUUUAUGGCAUUUUUUUUACCUCUUUUCUCACCGGGAGCUGCAGCAUUUGACUGCAAGAUGUGGCACCUGCUACAGCAUAGCCUGGAGCCAUCGGCUUUGCAGUGAUGGGUCAAGUGACCCAGAGAAAGGGAAUUAUAUAUAGAAAGACAGGAGAUAGAGAUGUCAUUAGAGAGAAGCCGGGAGCCAGGAGAGAACCUCUGGGCCUGCUUUUUUUUUUGAUGGAUGAAAGGAGCUUUACUUCAGUGAAGAGUGUUAUUAUAUUCAGAUUCCCAUUUAGGCUUCUCCAAGUUGUACAACAAAAGGAAUUUUAAAUGAUCUUGCAAAAUUCAUGUUACAAAUCAAUGUAACCUGCAUAAAUCAACCCAGACGGAACAAGAAGGAAAGGUUGAUGUGUGGGUUGUUGUUUUUUUUCCAAAUGCUUUGCUGCUGUGUUCCUGAACUAUAAUGUACUUUUCUAUUUAUUUGUAUAUAUAUAUAUAUUUUUAAGGAAAACAUCAAAAUCAAAACACGGGGUCCCCAAACCUACUCAUGCACAUUGACAGGGUCUGUAUUUCUGACCAUUACGGUCUGUAGGAUGCUUAUCAAUCACUCAGGGGUUGGAUUUGGGAUCUUCCAAGGAGGAACAGUAAGGAGCUUUGGUUGCUGCUUUAUUUAUUCUUCUUCUUAACUCCUUCUCUACUUGAGGAUCUGGUUAUCUGGGCUUGAAGAUUCUUCAUUUAGGUUAUGGUUGGACUUGAUGAUCUUAAGUGUCUUUUCCAACUAUAUUGACUUUGAGAUCCUAGGAAGUUAACUUUCUCCAUUGUGAGUAAGGAGUGGGGAAAGGGAACAAAAAGAGAGGAAAAGAGGGGUCAUGCUACCACCAGUGAUGUAGGGAAUGGGUUAAUAGAUCCUAAGCUGCUAAGAAUUAU